GCCGUGAGUAUAUAUGUUUUGCCGUGAGUAUAUAUGUUUUGCCGUGAGUAUAUAUGUUUUGCCGUGAGUAUAUAUGUUUUGCCGUGAGUAUAUAUGUUUUGCCGUGAGUAUUAACUUUGUGACGUAGUUACUAAUGUUUUAGAUUUGUAAUUGAAAUAUUUUGCCAUGGCGGAUAUAGGCCACCGUAGAUAUAGGCCACCGUAGGAUACCAAGCAUAUGAGUAAAGAGUUUCCUAUUAGACUGGUCAACGGAUUUGAUAGAAGCGAUAAAACGACCUACUGUGCGUAAAGAACGUUCUUCAGAUGAAGACGUUAUUAGUAUAAAAUUUGGACUAAACUAAUUUAUAUUUGAUUCUUGAAUCGGGGCUUUUUAUUUGCAAUGUAGCUUGUCUGCAUAAUUGUAAUUGAAAGUUUUUAUUUGUAAUUGUAUAUUGAGUUCCUGUGGCUAUCAUGUCUGUCAAAUUUGUAUUAACUUACAAAUAAAGAUGUUUUUUGUUGUCUUAUUUUUAAUAAACAA